rnacentral:rRNA from 2 species
UAUAGAUGGAUCCGCGCUGCAUUAGCUAGUUGGUAAGGUAACGGCUUACCAAGGCAACGAUGCAUAGCCGACCUGAGAGGGUGAUCGGCCACACUGGAACUGAGACACGGUCCAGACUCCUACGGGAGGCAGCAGUAGGGAAUCUUCCGCAAUGGGCGAAAGCCUGACGGAGCAACGCCGCGUGAGUGAUGAAGGUCUUCGGAUCGUAAAACUCUGUUAUUAGGGAAGAACAUAUGUGUAAGUAACUGUGCACAUCUUGACGGUACCUAAUCAGAAAGCCACGGCUAACUACGUGCCAGCAGCCGCGGUAAUACGUAGGUGGCAAGCGUUAUCCGGAA